GCCAGUGUUGUGUAAUGAUUUGAACAUGGGUCUAUAACUCUGGAGACCAGGGUUCAAAUCCCUGCUCAGCCA